UGUACAGUUAUGGAAACCUAAUUCUUUUUUUUUUUUUAAGAUUUAUUUAUUUAUGUACAGCAUUUUGCCUGCAUAUGUGACUGCAGGCCAGAAGAGGGCACCAGAUCUCAUUACAGAUGGUUGUGAGCCACCAUGUGGUCGCUGGGAUUUGAACUCAGGACCUCUGGAAGAGCAGUCAGUGCUAUUAACCACUGAGCCAUCUCUCCAGUCCCUGGUUCUUGCCUCUCAUUAUGUACAAGAAUUAACUCAGACUGUAUCAGUAGCCUUAAUCUGAAACUGGAAACACUGACACCACUACAGGAAAGUGCUGGACAAACACUUCAGGUCAUACAGUCACAGGCACAGGCACAGGUAGAGGCAGGAGAUGGCCAAGUAGGAUGCUAAUAACACAGGAAACAGCCCCAGGAACUGAGAGAUGCGGUUACAUAACAUUUAAAAGCUUUCGUACAGCAAAACAAAUUAUUAGCAAAGUAAGUAGUCUGUGGAAUUGGAGAAAAUCUUUGUCAGCUCUGUUUCCAACAAGGCGUUGCUAUCUAGAAUAUUUUAAAUCACCUAUUAAACACACAGGGACAAACCUGCUCAUCAGUACGUGGGCCAACGGACCGACGAGAAACUGUCAAAGGAAGGACGAGGGGGAGGCUUGAGCGAUGACUCAGCAGUGCUCUGGCAGAGCGCCCAGGUUUGAUUCCCAGCACCCGAGUAGUGGCUCGAAACCAUCUGCAACUCCAGUUCCCGAGGAU
rnacentral:lncRNA from 1 species